rnacentral:rRNA from 1 species
UACGUAGGGAGCAAGCGUUGUCCGGAUUUACUGGGUGUAAAGGGUGCGUAGGCGGCUUUGCAAGUCAGAAGUGAAAUCCUUGGGCUUAACCCAUGAACUGCUUUUGAAACUGCAGAGCUUGAGUGGAGUAGAGGUAGGCGGAAUUCCCGGUGUAGCGGUGAAAUGCGUAGAGAUCGGGAGGAACACCAGUGGCGAAGGCGGCCUGCUGGGCUCUAACUGACGCUGAGGCACGAAAGCGUGGGGAGCAAACAGG